GUGCUUGCUUUGGCAGCACAUAGGCUAUAAUUGGAACAAUAUAGAGAAGAUUAGCAUUGCCCUUGCUCAGGGAUGACAUUCAUAUUUGUGAAGCAUUCCAUAUUUUG